rnacentral:rRNA from 1 species
UCAGAUUGCAGUCUGCAACUCGACUGCGUGAAGUCGGAAUCGCUAGUAAUCGCGGAUCAGCAUGCCGCGGUGAAUACGUUCCCGGGCCUUGUACACACCGCCCGUCACACCAUGGGAGUUGGGAAUGCCCGAAGUCAGUGACCCAACCGCAAGGAGGGAGCUGCCGAAGGCAGGCUUGAUAACUGGGGUGAAGUCGUAACAAGGUACC